rnacentral:rRNA from 1 species
CUACUACAAUAGCGGAGGAAAAGAAACCACCAGGGAUUGCCCUAGUAACGGCGAGUGAAGCGGCAACAGCUCAAAUUUGAAAUCUGGCCCUUUCAGGGUCCCGAGUUGUAAUUUGCAGAGGGUGCUUUGGCGUUGGCGGCGGUCUAAGUUCCUUGGAACAGGACAUCGCAGAGGGUGAGAAUCCCGUAUGUGGUCGCAUGCCUUCGCCGUGUAAAGCCCCUUCGACGAGUCGAGUUGUUUGGGAAUGCAGCUCUAAAUGGGAGGUAAAUUUCUUCUAAAGCUAAAUACCGGCCAGAGACCGAUAGCGCACAAGUAGAGUGAUCGAAAGAUGAAAAGCACUUUGGAAAGAGAGUCAAACAGCACGUGAAAUUGUUAAAAGGGAAGCGCUUGCAGCCAGACUUGCCUGUAGUUGCUCACCCGGACUCCUGUCCGGGGCACUCUUCUGCAGGCAGGCCAGCAUCAGUUUGGGCGGUCGGAUAAAGGCCUCUGACACGUACUUCCUUUCGGGGAUGACAUAUAGGGGAGGCGCAAUGCGACCAGCCUGGACUGAGGUCCGCGCAUCUGCUAGGAUGCUGGCGUAAUGGCUGUAAGCGGCCCGUCUUGAAACACGGACCAAGGAGUCUAACAUCUAUGCGAGUGUUUGGGUGUCAAGCCCGAGCGCGUAAUGAAAGUGAACGGAGGUGGGAACCCCUCGGGGCGCACCAUCGACCGAUCCUGAUGUCUUCGGAUGGAUUUGAGUAAGAGCAUAGCUGUUGGGACCCGAAAGAUGGUGAACUAUGCUUGAAUAGGGUGAAGCCAGAGGAAACUCUGGUGGAGGCUCGCAGCGGUUCUGACGUGCAAAUCGAUCGUCAAAUUUGGGCAUAGGGGCGAAAGACUAAUCGAACUAUCUAGUAGUGGGUCCUGCAG